rnacentral:rRNA from 1 species
CCUACGGGAGGCAGCAGUGGGGAAUAUUGCACAAUGGGGGAAACCCUGAUGCAGCAACGCCGCGUGAAGGAAGACGGUUUUCGGAUUGUAAACUUCUGUUCUAAGUGAAGAAUAAUGACGGUAGCUAAGGAGCAAGCCACGGCUAACUACGUCCCAGCACCCGCGGCAAUACGGAGGUGGCAAGCGUUGUCCGGAAUUACUGGGUGAAAAGGUAGCGCAGGCGGGAAGGCAAGUCAGCUGUGAAAACUACGGGCUUAACUUGUAGACUGCAGUUGAAACUGGUUUUCUUGAGUGAAGUAGAGGUAGGUGGAAUUCCGAGUGUAGCGGUGAAAUGCGUAGAUAUUAGGAGGAACACCGGUGGCGAAGGCGGCCAACUGGGAUUUAACUGACGCUGAGGCUCGAAAGUGUAGGGAGCAAACAGGAUUAGAUACCCUAGUAGUC